GGGGGGGGGGGGGGGGCGAGCCGGGGGCGAGCCAUCAGUGAGAUACCAAUCUAGAAGAGCUCGGAUUCUAACCUUGUGUCAGACCCGCGGGCCAAGGGACAGUCUCAGGUUAACAGUUUCUAUGGGGCGUAGGCCUCCCAAAAGGUAACGGAGGCGUGCAAAGGUUUCCUCGGGCCAGACGGACAUUGGUCCUCGAGUGCAAAGGCAGAAGGGAGCUUGACUGCAAGACUCACCCGUCGAGCAGAGACGAAA
rnacentral:ncRNA from 1 species